UUAAAGUUAAUCUAUAUAGUAUUAGUACAGAGACAUAACCUGUCAUAGCGACGAGACAAAACAAGCACUAACUUUUGAAACAUCAGGGCCAAACGAGCAUACAAGAUAAUAUUACGGCGUCCGGUGCACAGUCUUACGAGGAGACUUAAGCGGCAUCGAAUAAUUAACGGACAUCGAUCGUUAGUCCUUAAUGAAGGUGGAGAACGAGCGAGAAGUCAAUAACGAGGUGGACCGGCGGCGCGAUUGUGAAGAGCCAGCAGAUUGCGUAAUCCGAUGGAUAUAUCAGGGAUAGGAGGAAUAGCCCCGCGUCCAUAACAUACGUACCGGUGGAGAAAUCGGUGGGAAAUAAAAUUCCGCUUCCUGACGACUCGAUACCAACAUCGCGGAUGGCAAGUAAUUCUGAUCGAGUCAUCUGCGAAUUCUGUGCUGUUUGAAAUUCAUUUAUUUUGGACUGUUUGCCGAAUGAAUCGUACCGUCGAUCAUCGUUUUUCAUCGUGUUUGUUUUCCAUCGUAAUAUAGU
rnacentral:lncRNA from 13 species